UGAAUAAGACAUUAUCUAGUGACAAUAGCGAAGGAGUUACACCUGUUCCCAUACCGAACACAGAAGUUAAGCCCUUCAGCGCUGAUGGUACUUGGCGGGUAACUGCCUGGGAGAGUAGGUCGUUGCUAGAU
rnacentral:rRNA from 1 species